rnacentral:lncRNA from 1 species
CCACAUCUUAAACUCUUCUUGAGAUUUCCUGUCAGUUUCAAAUUGGUUUCCCAUACACCAUGAAGACUGCUGUUCAGGAAACGUAAGUCCAAAAUUCCCCUGUUCUUGCAGCAUUAGUUAUGCAAUUAUUUGGAUCCUGGUUGCAUUAUGUAAAAGAUUUUAUGUAUUGCUAAAAAAUUGAGAAAAUGAGUUUCCUCCAUCCCCUAAAAACAACAACAAUACUUAAGUUAAAAGAAAUGUCUCUGGAUAUUUUCACACCUAAAGUAAGCCUUUUAAAAGGCUUGUGACCAAUUAUAUUGACCAAAACAUGCUUACAAGGACAAAAGUAACCAAAACUGCAUUUUGUAACACAAGAAGGCAGAUUAUUUGAUCAUUUCUUUGAAAAAGGCAGGAAUGUUUAAACUUUGCAGUAAUAUUUUUUUCAUUGCUUCCCAGGUGAAAAAAGCUUUGUUUAAAGAGAUAUCUUCAAGGUCUCCUAUGCUGUCAUAAUCAUUUCUUGAAAACAUCCAUCUUUAUCAUAGUUCCCAUGAGCUGAAGAAACACACUGGUGUGGUUGACCACAAGGAAUUGUAGAUAGCAUUGUUUCCAUAGCUUGAUCUAUUUCUCUAGGUUUUUAGUAUUUUUGUGGGUUUUAAUGAAAUGCUCAAAAACAGAAUGUGUGAAAAAUUCAGACACAAUUAUCAUAAUAUUUUUAGGGCACUGAAAUUUGUAUUUUCAGUGUGGAAUCUUUUUUAAAAACACGCAGUUUAAAAAACCUGUUAUGUUUACUUUCUGUUCCAGAUGAAUAGUUAUGUUACAGUAUUCCAGAGGAACCUAUACAACUGUUAUUAGACCUGUUCUUUUCAGCUUUAGCCAGCAUGGCCAGUGGUCAGAGAUUAUGGGAGUUGUAGCCAAACAACAUCUGGAUGACUACAGAUUUCCCACUUUUUUCUCUUCUCCUUGGAAUAACCACAACACCAUUUUUUAUUUUUGCAUUUUAAAGAUGAGACUCUGUUCUUCUGUCUGCUUUACAGGUGAUGGAAGCACCUUUUAGAGGAGUAGGAGGCUGACUCUGGGAAACUUCUUCCCCUUUCCUGCCUCAUUCCACUGAAACAAAUGAUUAUUGCCUUUAGUGACUCGGCAUAACAACAGGCCCAUAGGUUGUUGGGUUGUUGUUUUUUGUUUUUUUACUGGAAUACAUUCUUCCUGGAUCAGGGUACUUAUGUGAAAUGCUGAUCUAGUAGAAACCAGUCACUUCCAUGUUAGGGUCAGAAUGUUGAUAGUAUUAAUUACAGGCCACUUUUGAUCAAUAUAAUACACAAGGAAGCUAUUCCUUCCUAUUCAUUAGAAACACCUUUACAAUGAAUUAACAGUUGUCUCUUUCAGUUUAUUCCUACUAGGACAGUAAAUAACUUAUUUCUGUCUGUGUUUAAAAGGUAGUAAACAUUACUAGAUCAGUGAAUGCUUCUUCACUUCAGAUUCUUAGCAGAACAUAUUUGCUAUAUGGACACAGAAGUAAUAGUUAGAAAAUGUUUUGCCAUGCUUUUUCUUCUUUGAGCCAUUCUGGUAUAUUCAUGUGUGCUCAUCUGACAGAUCUUUGGCAAGGUACAAUAACACUGUUUCCUGCCUAGACUAUUACACUUAAUCAGCUGCAGAAAACUAAAUUAAUUGUUUGGCAAUAAGGUGAGAAGAGAAUUCUCCAACACAAGGGAUUAUCUUUUCACAGGUCAGAGAGAUAAUAUCCUGUUUUGAGAGUCUAGCAAAUUAUCAUAGGAUUGUUUGCCUACUAAUUAGUUGAUUUGCAGAAUGCUGAUGACAGAAAAGCCAAUUGCUGCAGGAAACUAAUAAGUUGUAAUCUGCAGUUAGGAAGGCAACCUGCAUCCAAAGCAGUUUGCAUCACAAAGCCAUUGUCCUGUAGAUAAAUGUGUACUGAGAAAAUCUCAAAGAGUCUCAUUUGAAUAUUGGCUUACGCCUCCUACAUUCUAUCUUAAAGACUCAACAGAUGUAGAUACUGGAUGGUUUGAACACCAACCAUUUCUUUCUCAAAAUAAAUUUUAAAAAUUGUCCGGUAGCUCCUUAGAGACCGACUAAGUUUGUUAUUGGUAUGAGCUUCCGUGUGCAUGCACACUUCUUCAGAUACACUGAAACAGAAGUCACCAGAAAAACCAGCUGCACCUAUAUAAGAUGGACACCUGGCUUACUAGCAGUACAUGUGAAAAGGAUCCAGGUGUCUUAGUGGACCACAAGCUUAACAUGAGUCAACAGUGUGAUGCAGCAGCAAAAAAGCUAAUGCUAUUCUAAGCUGCCUCAACAGAAGUAUAGUGUCUAGAUCAAGAGAAGUAAUAGUACUGCUUUAGUCUGCUCUAGACACCUGAAAUCCUGUGUUUAGUUCUGGGCAUCACAAUUUAAGAAGGAUAUUGACAAGCUGGAAUGUGUGCAGAGGAGGGCAACCUAGAAGAACAAGGGUCUGGAAACCAAGCCUUAUGAGGAAUGGUUGAGGGAGUUGGGUAUGUUUAGAUUGGAAAAUAGGAGAUAUAGUACCCAUCUUCAAAAAUCUCAAGGGCUGCCACAUGGAAGGUGGAGCAAGUUUGUUUUCUCCUGCUCUGGAGGGUAGAGCCCAAACCAAUGGAUUCAAGUUACAAAAAAGGAGAUUGUGACUGAACAUCAGGAAGAACUUUUUGACAGUAAGAGCUGUUUGACAGUGGUGGUCUCGAGGUUUUUAAGCAGAGGUUGGAUGUCCAUCUUCCAUGGAUGCUUUAGUUGAGAUUCCUGCAUUGCUGAGGGGUGGACUAGAUGACCCCUUGGGGGUCCCUUCCAAUUCUACAGUUCUAUGAUUCUUAACCACUGUAGUAUCCUACCUGUCUAAAUAAAGUACCACUUAACAACCACUGUAGAUUAUAAUAGCCCCUAACAACAGAAAUGUUUAAAAAUUAAGUGAUAUUCAUCACCACUGCCUUUAACAGGGUUACCUGCUCAAUGGGAACAUUCCUCUUUUUAAGAAUUCUUAAAAUUGCAGCUUAAAGAUAUCAAGAGAUUAGGCUGCAUAGUGCUAUACCAGCUAUACCAUCCAGGCUCCCUUCUAACCUCUAAGUUGAAUUUUAGUUUGGCCUGACUUGACCAAGAGGGGAAGUGUCUGCUGCUUUGUUUUGCUCCCUCACUUCAGUUGCACCAAGAAAUAGGAGGUUGUAUUUCACCUGCCUGCCACUUAUCACUUUGACAGUUCUGAGCACUUAAUUAAUUCAGAGGAGUGGGUGUAGCCCUGGCUCACAAAGUCCUUGUAAUACACUGCAGAAAGUGCAAUGCUCCUUCCUUUCCGGAAUUCAUAUGUUGGACUUAGACCAAGGAGGUAGUUCGUGAAGCUCACUGGGAAACUUUGGGCCAAUGAGAUCUAUGGUCUGACUACUCUUACAUGGUGGUUGUAAAGAUGAAAUGGUGAGGAUUAGGGGUGAGCCUGUACCCUUCCCUGAACUCCUGGGGGUGGGGGGUUAAAGGAGUUGUGGGUUGGAUUAGAACUAAGGCUAAUUGAACUUGGAUCACACUGAAAUCAAUAGGAUGCGGAAGUCAUGAUGUGCGUGCCAUUGAUUUCAGUGGGACCUAAGUUCAGCUAAGUUUGUCUGGAUCCAGCCCAGAAUAUAUUACUUGGGCUCUUUAGUGUAGAAUAAGAAAGCCAGGUGAGUUUUAUUUAUUGUGUAAAAUACAAGCAGAAGCAGGUAUGCUUCUUAUACAAGACUUCAGACGCACUCUGAACUGUGGACACAUCAUAGUUGAGACCUUAUGCUAGUGAUAUUGAUGUGCUUUUUUAUUGGCUUUUGAAGCAUAGUAUGGGCCCAUGAAUAACCCAGUUGUUACGAAGAUUAAAGGUGCGUGUUGCAAAACUCCGGUAAAUAAAAUCUCUCUUAGUCUUUCACUGACAAAUCCAGUUUUACUCUCCAUUGAAUUCUUUUUUUUAAAGACUGUAAUCUCCACAUUGGCAGAACACUUCAUAGCUUGUUAGCAGAGCUUGAAUUACCUCCCAUGGUAAAUACAACAAAAAUUAAUAAAGAAGAACACCUUAAAGGCAAAUGCUCACUGAAUCAAAUUCGUGCACACUGUGGCAUGUGUGCUCUAAGUGGUGCAGGACACCCUCCAAAGAGCUAUAUUUUGAGCUCCACAGGCCUUGUAUCCUUUGAUUUUCGAAAGCAGCCAACAGUACCCACACAGUAAUCCUCUUUGAAAACCAGGAGGCUUUCAAAACAUAAGUUUGUGAGAUGAGGAAGGGGCUGUUCAAAGGCAUUUCUCAAAAAAUCAAAAUCCCUUCUUGGUUUAUACAAGACAAUUAGGUGCUUCCAAAUCAGGGUUUGACAAACUUUUGGGUAGCCUGUGGGAGCAUUUGUAAACAAAAGAAACUAUCAUGGACACCACACACACUAACUAAGCACACACCCCAACCUAUUCCAUUGGCUAGAAUAGACUGCUUCUUCUAACCUUAAUUGUGGUGGAAGGACAGAACUGUGGAGGGAAGGCCUCUGCUGAUGCAUGUUGGUUUGUGAGAACUGCACAGGCAACACCUGCAGGCUUGCAGCCACAGAAUGACUUUGCUCUAGAAGUGGAGAAAGCUCCUAAAGAGGUUGUCUUCAUAUUUAGCCCCAACUUGCAGUGCCUAUGGGCACCAUGGCACCUUCAUACCUCCCUCAUGGUGUACAACAAGGCCCUCUGCCCCUUCCUUUUUUGGAGGGUUGCCUGCUUUUUUGUCUGUUUUGUACUUGUUUUGGGAUGUGUGUAAGCAUCUUGCGUGUUUGGAGGAUGGGGAGAAGGUUCUGAGCAUUACUGGUCCCCACAACAGUUUCUUAGCUUUCCAAAUGUGCUCCUCGGCUGAAAAACGUUGGGGAUCCUGAUGUAAGGGAUACCAUUAAAAGAGAUUGCCUUCAACAAGUUAUGAUUUUAGCCUUCUGCAAAGUUACGCUGUGCAACUUCCUUUUCAUUUUCACUUAAAUUUACUUUGGGUUUCCUACCUGUCUUAUCCUUCGGCGUCAGUCCAUAUGUGAACAAAAAUACAAUGUGACCAUCAGCCAUGCCAAAAUACAUUCAGGUGUAUUGUGUUAGAGCACCCAGACAACGAUGUGUUCACAUGCAGGAGCAUGCAGUUUUGCAGGCAGGAAAAAUGCUGGAAUGGUUAUGUGGCCUGUCUUUGAGAGGGUGGCGAUAUACAUACAUUCAUAUCUGCACUUAUAAACUCUCUGUGUGAGGUUAGGGCAUAGUAACCUAGGAAGCUACCGACUCAGAUCAUUGGUUAAAUUCACUCAGUAUCAUCUACACAGCUCUCCUGUGUCUUUGGCAGAUCUAUCUGCAGGUGCCAGGGUCUGGCAAAGCAUGAGUUAUGUCCCUUUCUCCAAAAAGUUGAUAUAGAGAAGAUUGCUUUUUUUAAAAAAACAAAAUUAGAUGUAUAUUUUUACCAGUUUUUUAUUGCUAUGAUUGACAAUACAAUUUUCCCAUGUUGUAAAUUCCUCCCUCCCUGUGUACAAUGAGUAAUCAGGUGUGUCAAGGACUUGACCAGUGCUUGAUCCUGCUGAAAUCAGUCCACCCUUCUCUAAGCUUCAGACGCAUGCCCACACAUGAUUAUUUUGAUUACCACCCACUGAUAGCCUAACUUCUUGCUGUGUUAGAACCGUCAGUUCAUGAUCCAAGUGCCAAGUGGUGAGCUUUGGGGCUGUUAGGGAAAGUAUGGCGUUUCUCUCCACAUUUCAGUUUAGCAAAUUAGAGCUUGCAACCCCAUUUUACUUAUAAGCGUAAAGAGAAGCAUCCCUUGGUUUGUUUAUUUUAGGUGUGGUUUUGUGGACUUCAAGUGGUUUCUUUCAGUCUGCAUCUCGGAAAUUUGCUCGUCUUAAUCCAGAGGUCUAAAAUAGUUGGAUAUUUGGAAGGCUUUGGCAUAUUUCUGUGUACAUCCUAAAAUAGAGUCGACAUUAUUUAUUGAUUUUGAAAAUCUUAGCCAUGAGAGAUUAUGUUAAUUUUUAAAGAGAGGUUUUUUAAUAUCUCUUUGGCAUUCUGGAAUAGUUCCCCUCCCCCCUUCCAAAAAGUGUGGUGCGCACAUUUUGGCUACACAUAAAAUAUUCUUUUAUUGGCCGUUACCUGAAAAUGCUAUACAAGAGUCUGUUGCAAAACACUUCUGCUGCUGCUGCUGCUGCUGCUGUAAUGAUGGCAUACAGAGAAAGUUCUAUCAACCCCCGUGGUCCUGAUCCAGAUUGAUCUUUCUAAGUAAGGAGAGUAGCCAGUCACAAGCACAUUUUUAAUAGAACAUGAACAUAAAAUAUACUACAUUAUUUAAUUUAACCAUUCAAAUAUUUUAUCUUCAAACCUUGGACAACUAGAGAAAACUAGAGACUUCUAGGUAUAGUGUAAUUGCUUUCUUCUCAUGGAGGGCUAGAGAGGCAGGGUGUGUUGUUUUUUGUAAUGGAAGAAGAUCAUAGUCUGAGCCCCCUUCUUCCUUUGGGCCUAGUACAGCAAUACCCACUAUAUCCCCCUCUUUGUUGGUAUCUGUGAGUUACUACAGAGUCUUACAGUAUACAGAGAAAGUAGAAUGUUGAGUAGAUGGUGAGAGAGACCUGGUCUCCCAAAUGCAAACAGAUGCACUGAGGCACAGAAAUUUAUCUAGACAUGGAGUACAGAGGAGGCUGCCUUUACAUCAUGUCAGACUAUGGUUCAUCUAGCUCAGUAUUGUCUACAGGGCAGCAGCUCUCCAGUGUUUCAGAGAGGGCACAUUCCCAGCCAUACCUGGAGAUGCCAGAGAUCAUACCUGAUAUUUCCUGCAUUCAAAGCAGAUGCUCUACCACCCUUACCUGAGAGAUGGAUCAGAAAAGGGAAAUUCUCCUAUACUUGCUUUUUCCCAUGGAAGAAGUGGAAUGAGACUUGCACAUAAUGGAGUCUCCAUACCAGAGCUGUACCACGUAUCACAAGCUAUUCUGUGAUUCUCCCACCUGGCAUGAAAAAGUGGUCAGAGGAGCAGCCAUUAUCAAUAAUGGGUGAUGUUGGAAUGGAAGUUCUCCAUGCUCACUGAAAGCAUCAUCUGGCAACUGGUAUUGUGCACUGCACUCCUUCACAGAGGCUGUUUCCAAAUUUAUUCAAAACUAUGAAGGUAAUUUGAACAGUAUGCAUAAUAAGUGGUUGGGAAGCCAACGUCUAAGGACUUGUAGGGUCAUGUUUUUAUCCAGGUGGUUCCCCAGUCUACAGUAAUGGAUAAAAAUGCCAUGAUUCUACUGGUAGCUCCCCAUGAUAGGUUGAUUGUAGGCAGCAUAAAACCUUUUGUGUUGUUCUUAUGGCAAAACUAGAAGUAACAGCAGCAGGCCCCUGGCAUCAACAUUUCCUAUAGACAAGUUUUAAGAUAUGUUCUAAAAUAUUUAUAGGUGUGCUAGCACACACACGAUGCAAUCAGAUGGUGGUUCAGUAUAUCUUUCUUUCCCUUCUUUUAUUGCUGCUGCUGCUGCUGCUGUUGUGUGGUGCUUUCAGACAAAGUUGUAGUGGUUCCCACAGUCUUAAUGAGCACAACUCAUUAAUGAACAUGAUUCUGUUAGGUCCAUUAAUUUCUGCUCUGCAUAAAACUUAGUUGAAUACCACCAUUUGCCUGAAUAUCAGUUGCUUAAACAUCUGUAAAAAGGCAUCAUUCGUGGCAUGGUGGCCUUAUGUGUUCUUUUUCUUUAAGAAAGCAAAGAAAGAAAGAAAAAAUCUUGUCUCCAAAUACUUUAACUCACUUUUAUCUCUCUUACAAUUUUCGAGACAUGCCCUUGCGUGAGCCUAUCCUGUUGCUUCCAUUCAUGACUCAUGCCAUCAAACCACCCUUGCAGCUGUGGUCGGGCUGUCCGGCCAAAAAUCACAAAACCCAACAGGUGGGUGUGACAGGAAAACAGCUACCAAGAGGGCCACAGCUGUGAGCAUGUCGCUCUAUUAUUGGUGAGGGCAUGAAUCAUCUCUCAAUUGAGGAAGCAGCAGUAGACAACCUGUUCACUUGGGAAAUAUGAUGAUAAUAAGAAUAACAGU